AACAACCUUGUAACAAGUCUGAUGCCAUCAAGCUUGUUACAAGUUGUUAACAGCUUGUUCCAAACUUGUUACAAAGACUGUAUCAGACUUGUUAGAUCAACCUUGUAACAAGUCUGAUAGUGGCAUCAAGCUUGUUACAAGUUGUU